rnacentral:rRNA from 1 species
GACGAACGCUGGCGGCGUGCUUAACACAUGCAAGUCGAACGAUGAAGCUGGAGCUUGCUCCGGUGGAUUAGUGGCGAACGGGUGAGUAACACGUGAGCAAUCUGCCCUUGACUCUGGGAUAACUGCGGGAAACUGUAGCUAAUACCGGAUACGAGGCUCGAAGGCAUCUUCGGGUCUGGAAAGAAUCUCGGUCAAGGAUGAGCUCGCGGCGUAUCAGCUUGUUGGUGAGGUAAUGGCUCACCAAGGCGACGACGGGUACCCGGCCUGAGAGGGUGACCGGCCACACUGGGACUGAGACACGGCCCAGACUCCUACGGGAGGCAGCAGUGGGGAAUAUUGCACAAUGGGCGAAAGCCUGAUGCAGCAACGCCGCGUGAGGGAUGAAGGCCUUCGGGUUGUAAACCUCUUUUAGCAGGGAAGAAGCGAAAGUGACGGUACCUGCAGAAAAAGCACCGGCUAACUACGUGCCAGCCGCCGCAGUAA